rnacentral:rRNA from 1 species
UACGGAGGGUGCAAGCGUUAUCCGGAUUCACUGGGUUUAAAGGGUGCGUAGGAGGACAGGUAAGUCAGUGGUGAAAUCUCCGAGCUUAACUCGGAAACUGCCGUUGAUACUAUCUGUCUUGAAUAUUGUGGAGGUGAGCGGAAUAUGUCAUGUAGCGGUGAAAUGCUUAGAUAUGACAUAGAACACCAAUUGCGAAGGCAGCUCGCUACACGAAUAUUGACUCUGAGGCACGAAAGCGUGGGGAUCAAACAGG